GUUAUUAUUACUUCAUGUUUUCUGAAAUAUUUUAUUUUCCACUGACUACAUUUUGUUUCCUCUUGUUUCAGUUUUAUAGUAUGUAUACCUAAAGGGAAUGUUAAUGUACUUUUGACUUCUUCCUAUUUGUUAUUUCUUUUUUCAGUUUCAUGUUACAGUUAUUACACUGAGUGACUAAUCAAACAGAGUUUUAUCAUUUGUGGUUAGUUUUUGAAAUUAUGUUUAAUGUUGGACUUACUUUUUAUUUGUUUAUUAGUUUAAUAAUAUAGUGUAUACCAGGAGUAAUUGAUUGGACUGAGUUCUAAUCAUUUUAAGUUGGUGUUUUAAAUGAUGUACAUAUUCUACUUCUCAUCACCAUUUGUUUCAUUUUUGCAGCUUAAUAGUGUUGUAUACACCUAAAGUCCUUUUAUCAUUUAUAUUUUGUAUUAAAUUUCAUGUACUAUUGACUUAUCUCAAUUCUUUUAUCAGUUUCAUGGUAUGGUUUGUAACAAAAAAGACUGGUCGAUCUGACUUUUUCAAUUGAGGUUGGUUUUUUAAACCAAUGUUCAUUGUUUGACUCAAUUUGCAUUUGUUUCUUUCGUAUACUUUCUUCAUAAGUAACUGAUGGGAUCAAUUGUAAUCAUUAUAAGUUGGUUUUUGAAACAGUGUCACGUUCCACUUCUUACUACUUAUUUUUUUCCUCCAGAGUUUUAGGUACUUGAAGAGACUGAUCCAACUGAGUUCUUUCAUUUGAGGCCGGUUUUUGAAACAAGGUUUUAUUUUCUUUUUGCUUCUCAUUUCUUUCUUGUUUUCUAUUCCAUAGUGUAGUUUAUUGACUGAUUAGACUGAGUUUUUAUCAUUUGAGUAGUUUAUAUAUGGACUGACUGAGUUCUUUACAUUUGAGGUUGGUAAGUGAAGUGAUGUUUAUUGUUCUACUCUGGUUCUUCAUUUCUGAGUUUCAUAGUAUAGUUUAUACCAGAAGUGACUGAUUUGACCAAGCUCUGUUUAUUUCAAAAGUGACAUAUCAGACUUGUAGUUCUUAUCAUUUGAGGCUGAUUUUGCAAAUAUUUUAUACUUAACUCACUUUUUGUUUCCUCAAUUCUCAGUUUCAUAGUAUUGUUGAUACCUAAAGUAACUGAUCGGACUGAGUUUAAUCAAUCUAGGUUGGUUUUGGAAACAAUUUUUAUGCUUCACUUCUGACUAUUUACAUCUUUUCUCUAUUUCAUGGUUUAGUUUAUACCUUGAUUGAUUGAGUUCUUAUCCUUUUGUUUUUUUAAAUAAUGUUUUGUGCUCCACU